AUUGAACGCUGGCGGCAUGCCUUACACAUGCAAGUCGAACGGUAACAGGUCUUCGGAUGCUGACGUGUGGCGAACGGGUGAGUAAUACAUCGGAACGUGCCCGAUCGUGGGGGAUAACGAAGCGAACGCUUUGCUAAUACAGCAUAAGAUCUAAGGAUGAAAGCAGGGGACCGCAAGGCCUUGCGCGAACGGAGCGGCCGGUGGCAGAUUAGGUAGUUGGUGGGAUAAAAUCUUACCAAGCCGACUAUCUGUAGCUGGUCUGAGAGGACGACCAGCCACACUGGGACUGAGACACGGCCCAGACUCCUACGGGAGGCAGCAGUGGGGAAUUUUGGACAAUGGGCGAAAGCCUGAUCCAGCCAUGCCGCGUGCAGGAUGAAGGCCUUCGGGUUGUAAACUGCUUUUGUACGGAACGAAAAGACUCUGGUUAAUACCUGGGGUCCAUGACGGUACCGUAAGAAUAAGCACCGGCUAACUACGUGCCAGCCGCCGCAGUAACAC
rnacentral:rRNA from 1 species